AGAACUGCACACAGUACUCCAAAUGUGGCCACACCAUAGAUUUGUAUAAGGGCCUUUGCUAUGGGAAAGUGGGGUCCAAGUAACUAGGCAUGAAAGCUUUUUUUUAAAUGGAAGAAAAUGUGUCCUUCUUGUUUCUUUCAAGCCCUUGAUAUGUCAGAAUUAGCAGUGAGAGAUAUGGGAGGUGGGAACUGCAACAUGUUUUUGUGCUAGUAGAAUCUCUGGACACACCUGCAAUUUUGUACAAAGCGCCGCCUUUGGUCUGCACCACUUCUGAAUUGGUCCCUUCUUGUAAGUUGCCUUUCCAAUGGAACAUGCCCAAGAUGGUGUUCAAGUUGAGGAAUAGCAAUAAUAAGGCAAGCAAAGCUGAUGCUGAUGGUUGGUCUUGUGAAUGUGUCACAGAAAAUGCACUAGAAAAAAAAAUGCAGAGAUGAGAAAUCAUUAAAGAACUAAAGAUCCAUUGUGGGGGAGACUUUGAUCUUCCUGUUUCCAAGUGAUUAUGAGAAGUGAGUAACAAAAACCGAAAGGUGAUUCAUAUGGAUUGACGUCGUCUCCUGGAAAACAUACCAUUUUUAGAAGAAGGGGAAAGACACAAGGGAGCAAAACAAAUUCCAGGGCAUUGCAUCUUUUAACUUGCUAAAUGCAGAAGCUUGCAUUAAACACAACUUUUUCCACGGA